CGGUUUACACAAUUGCAUCAAAUGCCGGUGUGGAGGGAGCCGUUGUGGUUGGCAAAUUGUUGGAAUCAGAAAAUCCAGACCUCGGAUAUGAUGCAGCUAAGGGUAAUAUGGAUACAUAAUAAUACCGCGCUUUUCAACAGAGAUUGUGUGCGGUUAUAUGCUCUGAAUCCUAAAAAUGUACGUAUAAAUUGUGGUGAUACGUGGAUAUGGUAAAGGCUGGAAUCAUUGACCCGUUGAAGGUCAUUAGAACUGUGCUCGUUGAUGCUGCUAGUGUCUCUUCAUUGAUGACAACAACAGAGGCGAUUGUGGUAGAGCAACCGACAGAGGUGAAGGCUGGACCACCAAUGGGCGGCGGAGGAAUGGGUGGCAUGGACUACUGAGGUGAGGUGAUGGAAUGCUGCUUAACAAUUGUUUAACAGCAGAAAAGAAUAAAAGAGAGUUGUGUUAUUUUUAAGCGGGAUGCAAUGAUGGGGCGAGUUGGUUUGGUUUUGGAUUUGAUUUUGGUAGGGUUAGUGUUAGUUAGACUCAAUUGUUUUGGAAUUGUCCAUUAAUUAUUUAUCUCCGUCA